rnacentral:rRNA from 1 species
GAUGAACGCUGGCGGCGUGCCUAAUACAUGCAAGUCGAGCGAACGGACGAGAAGCUUGCUUCUCUGAUGUUAGCGGCGGACGGGUGAGUAACACGUGGAUAACCUACCUAUAAGACUGGGAUAACUUCGGGAAACCGGAGCUAAUACCGGAUGAUAUUUUGAACCGCAUGGUUCAAAAGUGAAAGACGGUCUUGCUGUCACUUAUAGAUGGAUCCGCGCUGCAUUAGCUAGUUGGUAAGGUAACGGCUUACCAAGGCAACGAUGCAUAGCCGACCUGAGAGCUGGGGCGGGCACACUGGAGCUGCGCUACGGUCUGGACUACGACGGGAGGCAGCAGUGGGGAAUAGUUGACGAAGGUCUACAGCCUGAAAAAGUCAGGUCGCGGGAGUGAAGAAGGGUUGAGGAUGCUAAACCCCUCUUGGUGGUAAAGAACAAAAGCGCAACGAACCACGCCGUGCCUGACGGCGCCGUAACAGAACGCAACGGCUAACUCCGUG